rnacentral:tRNA from 1 species
AUCUAAAUAGUUUAAAAAAAAUAUUGAUUUGUGAUAUCAAAGUUAUAUAAUUAUUAUUUUAGAUU